rnacentral:rRNA from 1 species
AAAAGAAACUAACAAGGAUUCCCCUAGUAACGGCGAGUGAACCGGGAAGAGCUCAAAUUUGAAAUCUGGCGUCCUUCGGGCGUCCGAGUUGUAAUCUAUAGAGACGUUUUCCGUGCCGGACCGUGUCCAAGUCCCUUGGAACAGGGUAUCAAAGAGGGUGACAAUCCCGUGCUUGACACGACCACCGGUGCCAUGUGAUACGUCUUCUACGAGUCGAGUUGUUUGGGAAUGCAGCUCAAAACGGGUGGUAAACUCCAUCUAAGGCUAAAUAUUGGUGGGAGACCGAUAGCGAACAAGUACCGUGAGGGAAAGAUGAAAAGCACUUUGGAAAGAGAGUUAAACAGUAUGUGAAAUUGUUGAAAGGGAAACGAUUGAAGUCAGUCGUGUCCAUCGGACUCAGCCGGUUCUGCCGGUCUACUUCCUUUGGACGGGUCAACAUCAGUUCUGGCCGACGGACAAGGGCUGGAGGAACGUGGCACCCCUCGGGGUGUGUUAUAGCCUCCUGUCGCAUACGUUGGCCGGGACUGAGGAAUGCAGCUCGCCGCAAGGCCGGGGUUCGCCCACGU